rnacentral:rRNA from 1 species
GUAAGGAAUAUUGGACAAUGGACGCAAGUCUGAUCCAGCCAUGCCGCGUGAAGGAUUAAGGUCCUCUGGAUUGUAAACUUCUUUUAUAAGGGACGAAAAAAGGCUUUUCUAAGUCGUCUGACGGUACCUUAUGAAUAAGCACCGGCUCACUCCGUGCCAGCAGCCGCGGUAUUACGGAGGGUGCAAGCGUUAUCUGGAUUCUCUGGGUUUAUAGGGUGCGUAGGCGGGCAGGUAAGUCAGUGGUGAAAUCCUAGAGCUUAACUCUAGAACUGCCAUUGAUACUAUCUGUCUUGAAUAGUGUGGAAGUAAGCGGAAUAUGUCAUGUAGCGGUGAAAUGCUUAGAUAUGACAUAGAACACCUAUUGCGAAGGCAGCUUACUACGCAUAUAUUGACGCUGAGGCACGAAAGCGUGGGGAUCAAACAGGAUUAGAUACCCUGGUAGUCC